UACAGAGGGUGCAAGCGUUAAUCGGAAUUACUGGGCGUAAAGCGCACGCAGGCGGCGAUCCAAGUCGGAUGUGAAAGCCCCGGGCUUAACCUGGGAAUCGCAUUCGAAACUAGUUCGCUAGAGUGUGGUAGAGGGAAGUGGAAUUCCAGGUGUAGCGGUGAAAUGCGUAGAUAUCUGGAGGAACAUCAGUGGCGAAGGCGACUUCCUGGACCAACACUGACGCUCAGGUGCGAAAGCGUGGGGAGCAAACAGGAUUAGAAACCCCCGUAGUCC
rnacentral:rRNA from 1 species